rfam:Myotis lucifugus cont2.889, whole genome shotgun sequence.
GGCGGUUCUCGGGUGACACACCCCAGAACCAGAGAGGAGGGAGCCUGAUUCCAGGGUGUGUCACCCAAGAACUGCC